GAGUUUGAUCCUGGCUCAGGAUGAACGCUAGCGGGAGGCUUAAUACAUGCAAGUCGAACGGUAAGGCCCAGCUUGCUGGGCACACGAGUGGCGCACGGGUGAGUAACACGUACGCAACCUGCCUCUAACUGGGGUAUAGCCCCGGGAAACUGGGAUUAAUCCCCCAUAAUAUCCGGUUGUGGCAUCACAAUCGGAUCAAAGCUCUGGCGGUUAGAGAUGGGCGUGCGUCCCAUUAGCUAGUUGGUGAGGUAACGGCUCACCAAGGCUACGAUGGGUAGGGGGCGUGAGAGCGUGACCCCCCACACGGGCACUGAGACACGGGCCCGACUCCUACGGGAGGCAGCAGUAGGGAAUAUUGGGCAAUGGGCGAAAGCCUGACCCAGCCAUCCCGCGUGCAGGAUGACAGCCCUAUGGGUUGUAAACUGCUUUUCUCAGGGAAGAAACCCCCGGAUUCAUCCGGGGCUGACGGUACCUGAGGAAUAAGCACCGGCUAACUCCGUGCCAGCAGCCGCGGUAAUACGGAGGGUGCAAGCGUUAUCCGGAUUCACUGGGUUUAAAGGGUGCGCAGGCGGAUUGGUAAGUCAGUGGUGAAAGCUUCCGGCUUAACCGGAAAAUUGCCAUUGAUACUGCCAGUCUUGAGUACAGUUUGAGGUGGGCGGAAUGUAGCAUGUAGCGGUGAAAUGCUUAGAUAUGCUACAGAACACCGAUUGCGAAGGCAGCUCACUAAACUGUUACUGACGCUCAGGCACGAAAGCGUGGGGAGCAAACAGGAUUAGAUACCCUG
rnacentral:rRNA from 1 species